rnacentral:rRNA from 1 species
UUGUCCCGGUUUAAGCGUGUAGGCUGAUUUUCCAGGUAAAUCCGGAAAAUCAAGGCUGAGGCGUGAUGACGAGGCACUACGGUGCUGAAGCAACAAAUGCCCUGCUUCCAGGAAAAGCCUCUAAGCAUCAGGUAACAUCAAAUCGUACCCCAAACCGACACAGGUGGUCAGGUAGAGAAUACCAAGGCGCUUGAGAGAACUCGGGUGAAGGAACUAGGCAAAAUGGUGCCGUAACUUCGGGAGAAGGCACGCUGAUACGUAGGUGAAGUCCCUUGCGGAUGGAGCUGAAAUCAGUCGAAGAUACCAGCUGGCUGCAACUGUUUAUUAAAAACACAGCACUGUGCAAACACGAAAGUGGACGUAUACGGUGUGACGCCUGCCCGGUGCCGGAAGGUUAAUUGAUGGGGUUAGCGGUAACGCGAAGCUCUUGAUCGAAGCCCCGGUAAACGGCGGCCGUAACUAUAACGGUCCUAAGGUAGCGAAAUUCCUUGUCGGGUAAGUUCCGACCUGCACGAAUGGCGUAAUGAUGGCCAGGCUGUCUCCACCCGAGACUCAGUGAAAUUGAACUCGCUGUGAAGAUGCAGUGUACCCGCGGCAAGACGGAAAGACCCCGUGAACCUUUACUAUAGCUUGACACUGAACAUUGAGCCUUGAUGUGUAGGAUAGGUGGGAGGCUUUGAAGUGUGGACGCCAGUCUGCAUGGAGCCGACCUUGAAAUACCACCCUUUAAUGUUUGAUGUUCUAACGUUGGCCCCUAAUCGGGGUUGCGGACAGUGUCUGGUGGGUAGUUUGACUGGGGCGGUCUCCUCCUAAAGAGUAACGGAGGAGCACGAAGGUUGGCUAAUCCUGGUCGGACAUCAGGAGGUUAGUGCAAUGGCAUAAGCCAGCUUGACUGCGAGCGUGACGGCGCGAGCAGGUGCGAAAGCAGGUCAUAGUGAUCCGGUGGUUCUGAAUGGAAGGGCCAUCGCUCAACGGAUAAAAGGUACUCCGGGGAUAACAGGCUGAUACCGCCCAAGAGUUCAUAUCGACGGCGGUGUUUGGCACCUCGAUGUCGGCUCAUCACAUCCUGGGGCUGAAGUAGGUCCCAAGGGUAUGGCUGUUCGCCAUUUAAAGUGGUACGCGAGCUGGGUUUAGAACGUCGUGAGACAGUUCGGUCCCUAUCUGCCGUGGGCGCUGGAGAACUGAGGGGGGCUGCUCCUAGUACGAGAGGACCGGAGUGGACGCAUCACUGGUGUUCGGGUUGUCAUGCCAAUGGCACUGCCCGGUAGCUAAAUGCGGAAGAGAUAAGUGCUGAAAGCAUCUAAGCACGAAACUUGCCCCGAGAUGAGUUCUCCCUGACUCCUUGAGAGUCCUGAAGGAACGUUGAAGACGACGACGUUGAUAGGCCGGGUGUGUAAGCGCAGCGAUGCGUUGAGCUAACCGGUACUAAUGAACCGUGAGGCUUAACCUUACAACGCCGAAG